rnacentral:rRNA from 1 species
AUGGAGGCGCUCAAGGAGAAGCUGUGGAAGAAGAUGGGCACGGCCGUGGGCUCCAUGCGGCUCGAGCUCCGCGACAAGGCCGGCGCCAGGGUCGCUGACCUCGGUCGCGACGCCGCACCCCUCGCCGCCUACUCCCCCUACGUCGGUUCGUCCGUCCGCCGCCCGCAUCUCCUCUUGCUACCUACUGGCUGCUGCUGUUGUUGGACUGAAAGUGGAUUGCUCUGCAGGUACCGGCUGCACGUCAUCGACCUCGACCCCUCGUCGGUGACCUCCGGCGGGUGGCUGGAGGACACCUCGUUCGUUGAUAAGUACACCAUGUCGGACGAUGCAUACGACGAGCUCGGCACAAACAUCCGGAAGUUCAAAGAGAAGAUGGUGUCGAAAAACCUUGUAUCGGAUGAUAAGCAAUCAGACAAUCAGAUGGAGGAAUUGUGUGCUAACAUCAAGGGUUUGGGUGUCCAUCAGAUUCUUGCGAGGACAGCAACAGCGGCCAGCGUUUGUAUCUGCAGAGUUCAUGAAUGCCGCAGUGGGGUUUCCAGCGCAGCGGCAACAUGA